GAGUGUGUAGCUCAGUGGUAGAGCAUGUGCUUAGUAUGCAUGAGCUCCUGGGUUCAAUCCCUAGUACCUCCA
rnacentral:tRNA from 1 species